CCUACGGGCGACAGCAGUGGGGGAUAUUGCACAAUGGGGGAAACCCUGAUGCAGCGACGCCGCGUGGGCGAAGAAGUAUUUCGGUAUGUAAAGCCCUAUCAGCAGGGAAGAAGAAAUGACGGUACCUGAGUAAGAAGCACCGGCUAAAUACGUGCCAGCAGCCGCGGUAAUACGUAUGGUGCAAGCGUUAUCCGGAUUUACUGGGUGUAAAGGGGGCGCAGGCGGCACGGCAAGCCUGAUGUGAAAGCCCGGGGCCCAACCGCGGGACUGCAUUGGGAACUACCGGGCUGGAGUGCCGGAGAGGUAGGCGGAAUUCCUAGUGUAGCGGUGAAAUGCGUAGAUAUUAGGAGGAACACCAGUGGCGAAGGCGGCCUACUGGACGGUGACUGACGCUGAGGCUCGAAAGCGUGGGGAGCAAACAGGAUUAGAUACCCUAGUAGUC
rnacentral:rRNA from 1 species